AAAAUUUUAAGUUAAUUUAAAAACUAUUAAUUUUCAAAAUUAAAAAUAUAAACAAAUUUAUAAAUCUUA
rnacentral:tRNA from 1 species